GUUCCAGCAUGCGAGUGUCAAUUUGGACACACCUUUGAAGGCAAGUGUAUGCCUUUGACUCUUAAUCUUUGUUUGACCUGUUGCAAUUACAAAAUACUA